AGAGUUUGAUCAUGGCUCAGAUUGAACGCUGGCGGCAGGCCUAACACAUGCAAGUCGAACGGUAACAGGAAGCAGCUUGCUGCUUUGCUGACGAGUGGCGGACGGGUGAGUAAUGUCUGGGAAACUGCCUGAUGGAGGGGGAUAACUACUGGAAACGGUGGCUAAUACCGCAUAACGUCGCAAGACCAAAGAGGGGGACCUUCGGGCCUCUUGCCAUCAGAUGUGCCCAGAUGGGAUUAGCUUGUUGGUGAGGUAACGGCUCACCAAGGCGACGAUCCCUAGCUGGUCUGAGAGGAUGACCAGCCACACUGGAACUGAGACACGGUCCAGACUCCUACGGGAGGCAGCAGUGGGGAAUAUUGCACAAUGGGCGCAAGCCUGAUGCAGCCAUGCCGCGUGUAUGAAGAAGGCCUUCGGGUUGUAAAGUACUUUCAGCGGGGAGGAAGGUGUUGUGGUUAAUAACCGCAGCAAUUGACGUUACCCGCAGAAGAAGCACCGGCUAACUCCGUGCCAGCAGCCGCGGUAAUACGGAGGGUGCAAGCGUUAAUCGGAAUUACUGGGCGUAAAGCGCACGCAGGCGGUCUGUCAAGUCGGAUGUGAAAUCCCCGGGCUCAACCUGGGAACUGCAUUCGAAACUGGCAGGCUUGAGUCUUGUAGAGGGGGGUAGAAUUCCAGGUGUAGCGGUGAAAUGCGUAGAGAUCUGGAGGAAUACCGGUGGCGAAGGCGGCCCCCUGGACAAAGACUGACGCUCAGGUGCGAAAGCGUGGGGAGCAAACAGGAUUAGAUACCCUGGUAGUCCACGCCGUAAACGAUGUCUACUUGGAGGUUGUGCCCUUGAGGCGUGGCUUCCGGAGCUAACGCGUUAAGUAGACCGCCUGGGGAGUACGGCCGCAAGGUUAAAACUCAAAUGAAUUGACGGGGCCCGCACAAGCGGUGGAGCAUGUGGUUUAAUUCGAUGCAACGCGAAGAACCUUACCUGGUCUUGACAUCCACGGAAGUUUUCAGAGAUGAGAAUGUGCCUUCGGGAACCGUGAGACAGGUGCUGCAUGGCUGUCGUCAGCUCGUGUUGUGAAAUGUUGGGUUAAGUCCCGCAACGAGCGCAACCCUUAUCCUUUGUUGCCAGCGGUCAGGCCGGGAACUCAAAGGAGACUGCCAGUGAUAAACUGGAGGAAGGUGGGGAUGACGUCAAGUCAUCAUGGCCCUUACGACCAGGGCUACACACGUGCUACAAUGGCGCAUACAAAGAGAAGCGACCUCGCGAGAGCAAGCGGACCUCAUAAAGUGCGUCGUAGUCCGGAUUGGAGUCUGCAACUCGACUCCAUGAAGUCGGAAUCGCUAGUAAUCGUGGAUCAGAAUGCCACGGUGAAUACGUUCCCGGGCCUUGUACACACCGCCCGUCACACCAUGGGAGUGGGUUGCAAAAGAAGUAGGUAGCUUAACCUUCGGGAGGGCGCUUACCACUUUGUGAUUCAUGACUGGGGUGAAGUCGUAACAAGGUAACCGUAGGGGAACCUGCGGUUGGAUCACCU
rnacentral:rRNA from 1 species